CUGGUCUCCUGGCAACUGAAGUCCGCGCUUCCCUUCCGUUCACUCAUUCCUUCCUUUCCUCAUGCAGGAGGCGCUGCAAGGCUCCGUGCUCCUGGAGCUUCGAGUCUAUGGUAUGAGUUAAACAGAAGGGUAUCUCCUCCAUCAGAUCUACAGGAGGGUGUCUGCUCCAUCAGACCUGGAGCUUCCAAGGCAUUUUACCCGAAGCUCCAGCACCUGGCCCAAGGCUGGGCUGUGCUGUGUCCUCAGUGAAAGAAUGGAUGAGUCACAGCUGAAUGACUGAAGAGCUGAACCAGGUCCAGAAAGACUCAGCCACUGGAGUCUGUAUUUCCUGAGUCGCCUCUCACUGCUGGAGCUGUUUAUCAUCGCUCCAACUUUCACUAAAAAGGAAAAACUAUCACUUAAACAAAGCCAUUGAAACCCCAGCAUCAUGUGUGGAUUUUUUAACAUAAAUAAAUC
rnacentral:lncRNA from 1 species